rnacentral:rRNA from 1 species
AUUGAACGCUGGCGGCAGGCUUAACACAUGCAAGUCGAGCGAGAGGCGGACGGGUGAGUAAUGUCUUGGAAACUGCCUGAUGGAGGGGUAUAACUACUGGAAACGGUAGCUACUACUGCAUACCAUCAGAUGUGCUCAGAUGGGAUUAGCUAGUCGGUGGGGUAAUGGCCCACCUAGGCGACGAUCCCUAGCUGGUCUGAGAGGAUGACCAGCCACACUGGAACUGAGACACGGUCCAGACGCCUACGGGAGGCAGCAGUGGGGAAUAUUGCACAAUGGGCGCAAGCCUGAUGGAGCCAUGCCGCGUGUGUGAAGAAGGCCUUCGGGUUGUAAAGCACUUUCAGCGAGGAGGCGUUACUCGCAGAGGAAGCACCGGCUAACUCCGUGCCAGCAGCCGCGGUAAUAC